rnacentral:rRNA from 1 species
AUUGAACGCUGGCGGCAGGCCUAACACAUGCAAGUCGAACGAGUGGCGGACGGGUGAGUAAUGUCUGGGAAACUGCCCGAUGGAGGGGGCUAACUACUGGAAACGGUAGCUAAUACCGCAUACCAUCGGAUGUGCCCAGAUGGGAUUAGCUAGUAGGUGGGGUAACGGCUCACAUAGGCGACGAUCCCUAGCUGGUCUGAGAGGAUGACCAGCCACACUGGAACUGAGACACGGUCCAGACUCCUACGGGAGGCAGCAGUGGGGAAUAUUGCACAAUGGGCGCAAGCCUGAUGAAGCCAUGCCGCGUGUAUGAAGAAGGCCUGCGGGGUGUAAAGUACUUUCAGCGAGGAGGCGUUACUCGCAGAAGAAGCACCGGCUAACGCCGUGCCAGCCGCCGCGGUAAUAC